rnacentral:rRNA from 1 species
UGGGGAAUAUUGGACAAUGGGCGCAAGCCUGAUCCAGCCAUGCCGCGUGAGUGAUGAAGGCCUUAGGGUUGUAAAGCUCUUUCGCCCGCGAAGAUAAUGACGGUAGCGGGAGAAGAAGCCCCGGCUAACUUCGUGCCAGCAGCCGCGGUAAUACGAAGGGGGCUAGCGUUGUUCGGAAUCACUGGGCGUAAAGCGCACGUAGGCGGAUUCUUAAGUCAGAGGUGAAAGCCUGGAGCUCAACUCCAGAACUGCCUUUGAUACUGGGAGUCUCGAGUUCGGGAGAGGUGAGUGGAACUGCGAGUGUAGAGGUGAAAUUCGUAGAUAUUCGCAAGAACACCAGUGGCGAAGGCGGCUCACUGGCCCGAUACUGACGCUGAGGUGCGAAAGCGUGGGGAGCAAACA